AGGUGCCCUAUUGCUUCGUUUGAUUUGGGUCGUCAAGUAUCGAAUAAGUUAUUGUUUCAUUGCAAUUUAAGGCACAGCCUUAUUAAAGGAAGCAGAAUUCAUAAGACAUAUCAACUCAAGGCUGGCUUUGGGAAUCGAUUAAAUCCGGAUUUCAUGCAAAAAAGUGUAGGCUUCAUUAUAUUGCUGCUGUUCCUCUGUUUGUUGCUUUGUGCUGUCUCAAUUUCUUAUACUUAUUCAGGUAUGUGCUCUUUAUUAUCCGAGAAGUUGAGGUAUGUGCUGUCUCCGUUCCUUUUUUUGCAUCAGUGGCUUUCAUUGAUUGGUGUCUGUAUAAGAAUUGAAGGAAUUGGUAUGUGUCAAUAAUACACUUAAUAACUGUAACUUUGUAGUCUCAAUCAUUUGCCAAUUAAACUUUAAUAAAUAACUAGCGGUGUUUAUAGAAAUAAUCAAAUAUGCUGGACAGAACAGAAAUUACUUUUCCACAACUGUAUCCAUGUAUAUCCUCAGUACCUUGCGCUCUCUUUCCAAAAUCUUCCAUGCAGUUUUGGCAGUGUCAAUAUCAGUUAUCAGUAACAAUAUCAGUUAUCAGUGAAAAAGCAAUUUUUUUCUGAACACUUCUUUUUCGUUCUGCAGAUUUGAGGAACUGUGUGUUGUCAGAUUCUCUGACUAUUUCAGAUUCAGGUAUGUAUCUUCAAAUAAUGUGGAUUAGUUACAUUUGGUUAUUGAAUUUAAUAAUGAUAUUAUAUCUUUAAUCUUCUAAAGGAAGGAGCUUUUUUGGUGUUUGAGAGAAUUAGGAUUUGGGUGAGUUGCUAUAUGUGAUCAUAGUGAGUUAUUAAAUACACAUCCCUGAAUAUUCAGUGUAAAGACUUAUGUUUCAAUUAUUCAACUACACACUUCAAAUUCAAUUUAAACACACAUUUGGACUGCCUCUUAAGAGUUAAGUUUUGUGAAAUUCUAGGAUAAGAUCAGUUCUAGGUUCUUCUAUGUGAUAAGUGUGUGUAGAAGCUUGGUUCAGCUUAUUAACCCUCAAGUUAGGAUGAAAGAGGCUAAAGUUUUGGACUGUGUUUUGGCCUAAAGCUGCAAUGAAAGGCUGAUUAUCGCUCUUUAGAAUAUUUGUAGCAGUCAAUUGAUGGAUAGUUGAAAUUCUUCUCAACCCUAUGUUUUAAAAUUAGCAGUAAACCCUAAAUGAAGAAAGUUUUAUUGGAAAGCUAUACAUCCAUUAUCUUUUUCUUAAGAAAUCCAAAGUAACCUUAGAGAUUUAAAGAGUAAUGUUAUAUGGCCACAGCAUGAUCUAACUUUUCAAAAUUUUUAGUUCAGAUAAAUGUUAAACUUAACUAUGUAUGCGUGACUUUGGUUUUCCUCAGCAAUCAUCGGUGAACAGCAAAAAAGGAGCAUAUUUUCUCACUUCAGCUACUGCUACUAUUCAUUCAAUUAAAUUAGCAAUUAUGGCACCUAAACUGAGGAUGACAAAAAAAAAAGAAGGCUCUUAGAAGGUGAUCAUAUCUCAGCAGAUUUAUGUCGUUCUGCAAGUUAUAGUGAAAGUUUAUCAAGUGAGGGGAAUAUGCGAGAAAUAAAGAAUGAUCAGACUUUUUUGCAUCUAGCAGAAAGUUCAUUUCACGACGACAGCACACAUGAUCAAAUCAUGGCAAGAACAGGUUAUUAAAAACUGUUCUGAUGCCUAAACAGAGGACAAGCAGAAGAAAGUUUACAGUUGCAAGCAGAUAAAAGUGUUGAUAAUUAUGAUUGUGUGCAAUCUAACCUUCAUACUUCAGAACAAAGUUGUAAACACAAACGGAAAAGAUGUACAUCUGCUAUAAAUUUCAACUGUGGUGCAAGCACGUCCAACAAUCUAGGAGUCGAGAAAGCUGCUUCACACGGAAAUAAUAUUGGACAAGCAUCGUAGCAAAGAAGCAAAUGUGGACCUUAUGGAAUAUGCGAGAAAUAAAGAAUGAUCAGAUUUUUGUUGCAUCUAUAGCAGAAAGUUCAUUUCACGACGACAGCACACAUGAUCAAAUCAUGCCAUCCACUGUUAAAUGCUUCAAAAUACAAGUACACAAGAAGAAGGCAAGAGCACACAUGCCAAGCAGGAUUAGAAACUGCAACUCCUUUUGAAGACUGCCAACAGAAGAUCAGUGAAGCCAGUCAUCUACUUUCCGCUGACUACAUGACAUUCUUUGAACUGCAAUGACAAAAACCAUUUUUUGAAAAGCUAAUGGUUUUUAUACUUUUAAGCAAUGUCAAGUAGCAGCGAAUCAAGCCAUGAACAUCUUUUUUGCUCCCUACAUGGCAGUAUUUUGUGACAAAAUCAGACCAACUAUUUUUUUGUUUGUACAUAUGAUGCAUACAAAAUGCAUCUCCUAGAUCUAGGGCUAAACAAUAUAUUCUAUCACUGAAUGAAUGCCCCUUUUAUAUAAAUUUUGUUUGAAUUUACAUCAAUGUCUGCUGAUUGAGAGCAGGAGAACCCUUACUUUCUCAAUCUUAACGUAACAACUUUAGCCCGCGGCAGCGCGCGGGUAAACUU